rnacentral:misc_RNA from 1 species
UGUUUCGUGGGCGCGGCCAUUAAUGUUGUGAAUGGUUAUACGAGUCAAGCUGAUGAAAUCUAACUGUAAUUGGUGAUUCGUUGUAUAUAGUUUGACAGACAGUAAACAGGGAAGACAUUUCCCCAAAGAUGAAAAUCUAUACGGACGUUGGGAAUUUUCAGACCGUAAAGUUACUGGCUGCAGCUGCUACAGCUGGCGUGGAUGUGGAAGUGGUGGUGACAAUUAAUGCGAAGGUGGUUCCAUAUCUCACCUGUAACAAACUGCCGGUGCUGGAGCCUGAGUGCGGGGAGUUCAUCUUCUCACCAAAUGCAGCAACAAGGUAUCUGCUGAGCUUGGGCAAGAAGAUUGUUGAUGAGGCUGUAGAGAAGAGAUGGGCGGAGUGGGAGAGCUCCCAACUGUUGCCAGUUGUGGUGCCCCUCCUGGUGAGCGCAGUUGGCCAAGGCAAGCAGGACAAGACCCAGGAAAAGACUCUCCAGCCUCUACUCAAGUAUCUGGAGGCAAAACUCAAAGGAAAGAAGUUCUUGGUCGGGUCUAGAGUGUCUUCAGCUGACAUCAUCGUGUUUGGUACCCUGUUUCCAGUCUUGCUGGGUAAUCUUGCAAAAGACAGUGUGAAGGAGUGUCCAUCCAUCCAGGCGUGGGGGCAGACCGUGGCAGAUCUCACGCAGGUCGAGGGGGCGCUCAGACAGGUCACAGAAGGGGGGAAUGUACAAUCUCUGAAGGCGUCGUUGCUGGCCCAACCGGUGCCCCCUCCAGCCAACAUCGACACAGCCAAGUUGUACAAGGGGAUGCAGGGCCACACAGCGGAAGGGGCUCAACAGGCUGCCAAAUCUGCAGCCCCGGUAGAUGAGUUUCAGUUCCUGCAACCAGAGAAAACUAUCACGGCGGAGGAGCUUGCAACAGGAGAGAAGUCCUUUCUGUCCGGCGCCAGCACUAGCCCCAAACCAAGACUCCGCAAACACCCAAUAUUACCUUGUGAGGGGGAGAAGAAUAUAUUCAUAACCAGUGCCUUGCCCUACGUCAACAACGUCCCUCACCUCGGCAACAUCAUCGGCUGUGUACUCAGUGGCGAUGUCUUCUCCAGGUUCUGUCGACUGCGGAACCGCAAUGUGCUAUAUGUGUGUGGCACUGAUGAGUACGGCACUGCCACUGAGACGAAGGCCAUGGAAGAAGGCCUCACCCCGCAACAGAUCUGUGAUAAAUACAACAAACUACACUCCGAGAUCUACCAGUGGCUCAACAUCGACUUUGACUACUUUGGCAGGACAACGACAAAAGAACAAACUGAAAUUGCUCAGGAUAUAUUCUGGAAGUUGUACAAUCAAGGCUUCAUCCUCAAGGACAGUGUAGACCAGCUUCAGUGUCAGAAGUGUGUCAGGUUCCUGGCCGAUCGGUUCGUGGAAGGGACAUGUCCACUGUGCGGCUACGAUGAUGCAAGAGGGGACCAGUGUGAUGGCUGUGGCAAACUCAUCAACGCCGUGGAGUUGAAGAAGCCCAAGUGUAAGAUCUGCAGCAGCACCCCCGUCAUCAAGACGUCCCAGCAUCUCUUCCUGGACCUGCCCAAGGUUGAACCCCAGCUGCGUCAGCAUUUAGACAGAGUGUUUGAGACGGGAACGUGGACACACAACGCACAAGUUAUCACAUCAUCGUGGAUCAGGGACGGCUUGAAGCCUCGAUGCAUCAGCCGCGAUCUGAAGUGGGGGACGCCUGUGCCGCUAGAAGGAUACACUGAUAAGGUGUUCUAUGUGUGGUUCGAUGCUCCCAUCGGCUACAUCUCCAUCACCGCCAACUACACCAAGGAGUGGAAGAAGUGGUGGAAGAACCCAGACAAGGUGGAGAUGUACAACUUCCUCGGCAAAGACAACGUUCCCUUCCACAGCGUCAUCUUCCCCUGCACCCUGCUGGGAGCUGACGACAACUACACCAUCGUCAACAGCAUGUUGGCAACAGAGUACCUCAACUACGAGGAUGGCAAGUUCUCCAAGAGCCGAGGUGUCGGUGUGUUCGGGGACCAGGCUCGGGACACCGGCAUCGCGCCGGACGUAUACCGAUUCUACCUCCUCUAUGUCAGACCAGAGUCCCAGGAUUCUGCCUUCAGCUGGGAUGACUUCCUCUUGAAAAACAACAGCGAACUCCUCAACAACAUCGGCAACUUCAUCAACAGGGCGCUGAUGUUUGUGUCCAAUUGCUUUGAGGGGACCAUCCAGGACAUGAAUCUCUCUCUGGAAGACAAGAAGUUGAUUGCUCUCGUCAACAGGGAGCUGGCCACAUACGUUGACAACAUGGAGAGUGUCAGGAUACGAGACUCUAUUCGCAAUAUUCUGAGUAUCUCACGCCUGGGGAACCAGUACAUGCAGGCAAACAAACCAUGGGUGCUAGCCAAAGGGACUCCACAGGAAAGGGCCAGAUCUGGAUGUGUUGUGAGUCUGUCUGCCAACAUCGCGUGCCAGCUGUCCGUGUUACUCCAGCCCUACCUGCCCGUCACCAGCGGCAUCAUACAGGAGCAGCUCAACGCCCCUGCAGACUGCAACAUCAUCGUCAGUAACUUCACCUGUCAGCUCAAAUCUGGACACAAGAUUGGCAAGCCAAGCCCACUGUUCCAGAAGAUAGAAGCUUCCAAGAUCGAGGAGCUGAAGCAGAGAUUUGCAGGCGCUCAGCCCAAGCCUGCAUCAGCAGCCAGCCUUGAGGAGAUUGAGAGACUGACACAGGAGGUGGCAAAACAGGGUAAUGAGGUGAGGGAGCUGAAGGGCCAGAAGGCGGAGAAGGCCCUGAUAGAAGCUGCUGUAAACAAACUCCUGGACCUGAAGAAGCAGCUGACCAAGGCUCAGGGAGGGGAACCUCCUGCAGCUGGCAAGAAAAAGGGCAAGCAGGGGAAGGGUGAUGCAAAGUCGACACCAGCCCCAGCAGUCACACCCACUCCAGCCACACCCACUCCAGCCACACCCUCUGGGGACCAGGGAGAGAUUGACAGACUCACUGAACAGGUCUCUGCACAGGGCACCGUUGUACGAGAGCUAAAGACAAAGAAGGGAGACAAAGCGGCCAUUGAUGCCGCUGUUGCCCAGCUCCUGGAUCUGAAACGUCAGCUUGCCGUGGCUCAGGGUUUGGACCCAGACCAGACAAUCGGGGGUGGGAAGAAGAAGGGCAAGAAGAAAUAAACUGUUUGUCAUGGACACAUUUGUGUUGUUCUGCAGAAGAGGUGUAAUGAUACACGUGAUACAUCCAUUUUCAAAAUAUAUCUAUACAGUCACCAUCAGAAUUGUACAUGAUUGUAUAAAUUGUAUAAAUUGUUAGGGUUAGGUUUAGGCUAAUAAACAAAUUAUUACCAUGAAAAUUGUCUUACUUGUCAGAAGGCCCACAUCCAGUGGUCAAAAUAGACAUCGUAGGAUUAUACCUUUCAAAUGACAUGUAGUCGUGUUUUACAAGCUGAUAAUUUCCUCAUAAAUGUAGGGUUCAUCUAUAACCACCAUGAGGCAGGAAAGCUUCUUGUUGACUGGUUGUGUUUUGCAAUUUUUAUUCCAAGAGUAUGUCUCCCUGCAUCAGCUAAAAUAUUUGGGCCUACAGUUUUUCCACUGGGCGGAGUUUUUUAAAUGUACUGGCCCUUAAGGCUCUUAGUUUACUCUGCUGAAUUGCGGGGGCACGGGUGGCCCAGUCGUCUAAGGCGCCGCGAUUUGCUGUGCAGAGUUGCGUCCCUUGGCCACGCCAGAAAUCUAUGAUUGUGGGUUCGAAUCCCAGUUCGCCCCGAUUAUGUUUCU